AUUGAACGCUGGCGGCAUGCCUUACACAUGCAAGUCGAACGGUAACAGGUCUUUGGCUGCUGACGAGUGGCGCACGGGUGAGUAAUACACCGGAACGUGCCCGAUCGUGGGGGAUAACGAGGCGGAAGCUUUGCUCAUACCGCAUACGAUCUACGGAUGAAAGAGGGGGAUCUUCUGGGCUCGCGCGGGCGGAGAGGCGGAUGGGGGAUUAGGUAGUUGGUGGGAUAAAAGCUUACCAAGCCGACGAUCUGUAGCUGGGCUGAGAGGAUGAUCAGCCACACUGGGACUGAGACACGGCCCAGACUCCUACGGGAGGCAGCAGUGGGGAAUUUUGGACAAUGGGCGAAAGCCUGAUCCAGCCAUGCCGCGUGCGGGAUGAAGGCCUUCGGGUUGUAAACUGCUUUUGUACGGAACGAAAAGCCUCUUUCUAAUAAAGAGGGGUCAUGACGGUACCGUAAGAAUAAGCACCGGCUAACUACGUG
rnacentral:rRNA from 1 species